AUUAAUAGCACAUUGCAAAUUUAUUGUGACUUGCUAGUGGUGUUGGGUGGCGUCGUGGAACACGUGGAUAAACUCCCGAACAUUCCACGAAAACGGAGGAGAAAAACUAAAACACGUGCGCACGCUAGAAACCCCAAGGGCCAACUGGCGAAACUGACGAAAAUCGACUAGAGGUGGAGAAGAAUUGAUGCCAACAUCGAUGUCAAACAUCGAUAUUUUCGAAGAAUCACAAACAUCGGUUUGUUUUUUCGAGGAAUCAUCGUAUAAAAUGUAAGUACAAAUUAAUUUUGCAUAUCUUUUAAUACAAUUAUUAAUAGCACAUUGCAAAUUUAUUGUGACUUGCUAGUGGUGUUGGGUGGCGUCGUGAAAGACAUGGAGAACAUGGUGGAGAAACAUCGAUGCAAACAUCUCUAAAAUCGACGCAUGUACGAAAUGGUGUACAAGGAGAAUGCAGUGAUAAUGCGAGCAGCUGAGCAUUGCCGUCUCGCUCGCACGCGUGCGGUGCGUGUGUGUACGUGAGAAUGCGCACAGCAAAGGCAACAGCGAAAAAUUCCGGUUGUGAAAAAGGGAGAAAGAAAAAAGCGUUUGUUACAACCAGGGGCGUUAGAAAAGGGUUGUGCCAAUGUAGAUUUGGUCUAAAUCAGUAAACAAAUAAAUAGCAAAACGGUA